rnacentral:tRNA from 1 species
CAAGUUAAAGCUAAACUAUAAGCGUUUUAUUUACAUUAAAAAAAUUGGUUGAAUAACCUUUCUUGA